UUUUUUCUUUUAAUACAAGCCCGGCCCAAAAUUUUUAAUCAAAGCCCAAGGAACAAAAGGAGUCCCUAUCCGCGUGAGACCGGCCCACUUGCGUCCAAGCCCGCUUGGCCCAGACUGACCGGAACCCUACCCGAUCAAGAUCCACGCCCAACUCGUCGACCGGCCCGGUUCCCGCGAGGAACCCUACCCGACGGGGCUUUCGCCCGACCCGAUCGCGACCCGAAUUUGCAACCCCAAAUUCCAGUGCUUCUUUGCGGCGCUAGAGAGGGGAUGGCGGGGACGCCGG
rnacentral:lncRNA from 1 species